ACCUAAGAACCGAUCGGCCUCCAUUUUUCUCUUCUCCUCUUCUUCCUUCAUUUGAAGCAAAACCCUAUUUCUCUUUAGCCAUGACAGUUUUUUCUAUCACAUUUUCACACCAAAAUUGUCUCUACGCCUGCUUUACCUGAGCUUUCUGUCGUUGACAGGGAAAAGCAUUCCUUUUCUUGCUUCAAACGCACGUUGAUCCUCAAAGACCAUAAAUGGUCGAACCAUUUACAGAUAAUAUCCAAUUCAAACCAUUUGAAAAUGCUUUCAACACUCAGAUUCAAACGGAUUCAUUUUGGCUCGUUUUUGGAAAACCCUAGGUGAUGAAAUCCCGCCCAAUUUCGAACCCAGCAAACCCUAAAAUCAUCCUAUAAAUACUCGCUUCUCGACCCAUUUAGAGGGGGUUCUCUUUAGCCGUCUAUAUCCCUCUUGAAAUAUCAAUAUUCUUCAGUCUUAACACCUUCGGGUAGUGAUUCAAAAUAUUAAGUCAUUUUAUUCCCUUUUUGCCCCUGCUACUAACUCGAAUCCGAGCGUAUUCGAGCUCGGAGUUUGUUAGUGUUCGAGUGUGUAUCGGAGACCCGACGCCCCAUUUCGCUGCACCUGAAGAAGAGCGAAAUGGAGUCUUCAUAAAGACUCAUUAUCCGAAUAGUCUCAUUUUGAGGCUGUGCGGCCAUUGGACCUUGAAUGCGCAUUCCCUUCUGCUCUCAUUCUCUCGACAUUCAUGUGAACAAAAAACAAAGAGAUUGGCUAGCCAAACGGCGAAUCACUGAAAACUUUACUCUCCUCUUUAAUCAUAUCACUUUCAUUCUCCGAUGCUUGUUUAUAUGUUUGGCGUGACUAACCUCUAUUUGUAUUUGUGUGACUAAUUGUUAAGACCUAAGUUACUAUACUUUAAAGUUAAGUUUUAUUUAAGGUUUUGCUUUAGAUAUUAAUAGAGUACUUCCUCUUUUACAUGGAACACGGCGUUUAGACAUAUGAAAUUGAAUAAGUGAUCAGUUUACCACA